rnacentral:lncRNA from 1 species
GCCUUUCUAUCAAGCUAAGUACACAACACUUAGUAUAUAUUUAUAAUGAUAACACCAAUUCGCGGAUUGUAGUUGACACCUCCAACUGGUAGGGUCAGUUUUUCACAUUUUCAACCCCACUUGGCUUAAAACUGCCCCAACUCAAAUACAAUGCAUAAUUGCUUAUAACUGGGUCACCUGUGACCCUCAUGCCUGCGUUUGAUCACUAACUUCGUGGACUGAAAUCAGCUGGACGGCAAGGUCUCAAUGUUGCCAAACACAAGCCCGCAUCAUCCCAUCAAUGAAUACCACAUCCAACCUGCAUCCCCAAAUUCCAUCCCACGAUGCUGCCAUUAAAUAAGCUAGCAUUGUCAUGCCUCAACUACUGUCGCACCCUGAAACCUACACGAAUGUCUUGCUUCGUUCCUUUUUGAAUCUGCAUUGUUCAGACAUCCCGUCCGCCUUCAGCCAUGACAAGGUAUCGGUCAAGACAUCACCUGUGUCUCUGCCAUUUUCUUGAUAAGGGUCCUCACAGUAGCCUAUUAGGGGUAGUAUUUUUAGCAAUUGUAGAGUAAACGUUUCCUGUAACCAUGUGAUAUCCUAUAAUUAUGGGAGAUCCUCUAUAAUCACUGUAAUAGAUAAUAAGACCAAUUUGAAUAAUUUUAUAACC